CAAGUGCUGAACUUGUGACUCUGGUUGCUUGAACUAAGAGAUGUUAUGACUCAGCAAUUACAACUCAUCAUCAGAAGAGAAACUUUGGUUUACUCAUCAUUUCACGACCUCCAGUGCAACCUGAUGGAAAAACGACAUCCAAAGUAAAGAGAUGAAAUCCAAAAGAUGUAGUCUGAUCUACAACAUUGCACCUUACCAUGUCUACCAGGUUGGACUGCAAUUAAAGCAAAAUUAUCAUAUAAUCUAAUCUCCGAUCGAAUACGAAGCAAAACACUUGACUUCAACAAAGUGAAGGCCACAAAAGUAAUGCUUC
rnacentral:lncRNA from 1 species